rnacentral:lncRNA from 1 species
CCUCCCUCUCUUCCUUCAGUUCUCUUCCUCUCUCCUCUUUCUUUCAAUUUUAUUUUCCUUUUGCUAGGAGUGAAACAACUGCAAGCUUCUACCAGUCAGUCUUGAGGCAUUCAAGUCAAAUUCAGAAGCAAGGCAGCAAACAAGGCCUCAGGAGAUGCAGACAUGAGACACUGUAGGACCCCAAAGCAGGAAAAUAGCUACGAGGCUGCAGUCCAAGGCUUCAUUGCAGGGAGUUUAUUUUAUUUCAUGUGAAGAGCAGAUACUCGGCUACCUGUUUGCUUGCGAGAGCCUUGAAGGAGGAAGCAGCAAGGAUGGAGGGAAGAAUGUAUAGAAAAGGACUGAAUGAAAAGUGGCCAGACAUGGGUUCAGAAAUAAAAUGAGAGGGAAAGAGGCAGAGGAUGAGAACAAAACAAAGCAGGACACAAUGUAGAAUGCAGCAUGUGAU